rnacentral:tRNA from 1 species
GUGGUUGUAGCUCAGUGGUAGAGUGCGUGCCUUGCACACAUGAGGCCCUGGGUUCAAUUCUCAUACACA